CUGAUGAAGGCUUUCGGGUCGUAAAACUCUGUUGUUAGGGAAGAACAAGUGCUAGUUGAAUAAGCUGGCACCUUGACGGUACCUAACCAGAAAGCCACGGCUAACUACGUGCCAGCAGCCGCGGUAAUACGUAGGUGGCAAGCGUUAUCCGGAAUUAUUGGGCGUAAAGCGCGCGCAGGUGGUUUCUUAAGUCUGAUGUGAAAGCCCACGGCUCAACCGUGGAGGGUCAUUGGAAACUGGGAGACUUGAGUGCAGAAGAGGAAAGUGGAAUUCCAUGUGUAGCGGUGAAAUGCGUAAGAUAUGGAGGAACACCAGUGGCGAAGGCGACUUUCUGGUCUGUAACUGACACUGAGGCGCGAAAGCGUGGGGAGCAAACAGGAUUAGAUACCCUGGUAGUCCACGCCGUAAACGAUGAGUGCUAAGUGUUAGAGGGUUUCCGCCCUUUAGUGCUGAAGUUAACGCAUUAAGCACUCCGCCUGGGGAGUACGGCGCAAGGCUGAAACUCAAAGGAAUUGACGGGGGCCCGCACAAGCGGUGGAGCAUGUGGUUUAAUCUCGAAGCAACGCGAAGAACCUUACCAGGUCUUGACAUCCUCUGAAAACUCUAGAGAUAGAGCUUCUCCUUU
rnacentral:rRNA from 1 species